rnacentral:rRNA from 1 species
CAGCAGCCGCGGUAAUACGAAGGUCCCGAGCGUUGUUCGGAAUCACUGGGCGUAAAGGGAGCGUAGGCGGCGUGGUAAGUCAGAUGUGAAAUCCCGGGGCUCAACCCCGGAACUGCAUCCGAUACUGCCAUGCUAGAGGAUUGGAGAGGUAGCUGAAAUUCUUGGUGUAGCAGUGAAAUGCGUGGAGAUCAAGAGGAACACUCGUGGCGAAAGCGAGCUACUGGACAAUAACUGACGCUGAGGCUCGAAGGCCAGGGUAGCGAAAGGGAUUAGAGACCCCCGUAGUCCCUGUCUCUUAUAC